UGUGUGUGUGUGUGUGUGUGUGUGUGUGUGUGUUACCCUUAGGGAUGAAGAAGGUAUUAGAUGCCCUGGAACUACAGUUAUGGAUGGAUACGAGCUACUAUGUAGGUUCUGGGACUUGAACUCACUAACUAUUGAAUAUGCUUUUUGUUGUGUGUGUAUGUGGGGAGGGGGGGGUGCUACAUGUUUAUGCUAACAGAAGGUAGGUGAUAAAACCACUCCAGGAUACUCCUCCUCCAUGCUGUUGUCUUCGUCAAUAGCCUGUCUGAAGGGCACACAUCUUAUGUAACUGCAUCAGUGAUGACUCGAAAAUAAUUUUAGCUUUUCUUCAUCAGUCCCUGCAGAGGUUUUUUUGAGUCACUUAUUUUAUCAUGCCACAAACCCAACUAAUUAUUUCUUACUUUAAUUAGAUUUUAUAUGGUAUGAUUUGCCUUAGAAAUGAAGUAGUCAACAUCUGUCCAUCAUUAGUAUGGCACUAAAACGUAAAGGAGUGAACC
rnacentral:lncRNA from 1 species